rnacentral:rRNA from 1 species
ACUCCUGCGGGAGGCAGCAGUGGGGAAUUUUGGACAAUGGGCGAAAGCCUGAUCCAGCAAUGCCGCGUGAGUGAAGAAGGCCUUCGGGUUGUAAAGCUCUUUUGUCAGGGAAGAAACGGUGAAAGCUAAUAUCUUUUGCUAAUGACGGUACCUGAAGAAUAAGCACCGGCUAACUACGUGCCAGCAGCCGCGGUAAUACGUAGGGUGCAAGCGUUAAUCGGAAUUACUGGGCGUAAAGCGUGCGCAGGCGGUUUUGUAAGUCUGAUGUGAAAUCCCCGGGCUCAACCUGGGAAUUGCAUUGGAGACUGCAAGGCUAGAAUCUGGCAGAGGGGGGUAGAAUUCCACGUGUAGCAGUGAAAUGCGUAGAUAUGUGGAGGAACACCGAUGGCGAAGGCAGCCCCCUGGGUCAAGAUUGACGCUCAUGCACGAAAGCGUGGGGAGCAAACAGGAUUAGAAACCCUGGUAGUCCCA